rnacentral:lncRNA from 1 species
UUCACCAUGUUGGCCAGGCUCUCAAACCCCUGACCUAGUGAUCCUCCCGCCUCUGCCGCCCAAAUUCCUGGGAUUGCAGUAGUGAGCCACCGCGCCCGGCCUAUUUUUUUCAGUCUUAUCUUCUCUACCUCACCACCUCACAGUAAAGCAUAUACAUAAGAUAUUUUGCCUGCUAUGAAGCCAUUGGAGAAUCAGGUCCAGCUGUGUCCUACAGAUUUAUACCCUCACUUUGGAUGCACUGUGAAUCUUGAAACAAUUCAUUUUAUACUUAACCCUUUAAGUAUAAAGUAUAUACUUCAAGUAUAAAGUGUAAGGUUGCUUCAUUUCAUGGGCCCACCCAGGAUUUAAAGGUGUAUUCCCUGAAAGAAUUGGUUCCUUCCGGUGGGUUCCUGGCUGACUUCAAGAAUGAAGCUGCAGACACUUAUGGACUGGGAGGAGGCCCACGAGAAAAACAGGAAGAACAAGAGAAAGGCUGAGGCUCUAGUGGCUGCUUUGCAGACUUGCAGAGUCCAGGAUCCCCCAGGAACUUCCACUGAUUGCUACCUGUUACCAGUGUUAAAGCCAGGGCACUUUAAGAAGAAUUGCCCAAGCCACAAGAAAAAGCCACCUUGACCACUUUUGUGGUGAAGACCACUGGAGAUUGCACUACUGACCACCAAGACAGAGACACAAUAGCGAAUCUAGAAGUGGAAGUGUGAGAGAUACCUGCAGCUGUUAAGAUGUCUGGGAAUAGACACACAAACUCUCUCUCCCAGAUAAGCAACACAAAGCAGCACAGAGCAACAGAGACUGAAAGUCUGCCUACCUGAUCAGGGAAUAAGGUGAGAGUUGAUAAAGACUCUGCUCUAUACAGAAAGCAUACCUGGUUCCAACUAAAUCAUCAGGUUUUAUGAGGAUAAGACAUCCUCUCCUCACUAGUGCCCUCCUCAUUAGCCCAUUUACAAAAACCCUGAGAUUUUAGCACAGCUUGGCAACCUACUCAGGGCUCCUCUCUAUGCUGAAGAGCUGUUCUUUUUGUCUAUUAAACUCCUGCUCUAAACUCAUUCUAUGGGUGUGUGUAUCCACAGCCUUGAUCCACUUGGCUGUGAGACUAAGAUCCUUGGUAUUUACCACAGACAAUUAGGUUGUUUCAGAAAUUUCCUGUUUAAAAAAAAAAAAGACAUAGAUCUAAAAUUACCAAGUACCAGAGAAGAUAGAAAAUCAUGUGUUUUUGGAUUGUUUUGUUUCUGUUUGUUUUCUCAUUGUGCUUAAAAUGUCUGAGUUUGACUUUGUAUGCAUAUAAUACUUUUACUAGGGGAAUUACUGUAAAAUAUUUGUAUAUGGAUGGCUCUUAACCCUAUAUCAUUGGCACAUGUAAGAGCAUGGAAGAAUAAGACUCAAACAAGAAAGGAUUGACCAUUUAAUGGCAU